AACGCAUCUUGCGCCCGGUGGUAUUCCGCCGGGCAUGCCUGUCUGAGUGUCCUUACUAUCUCAACCCUAGCCAUGUUGUCAUGACGUGGCGGAGGGGAUUGGACCGUGGACUUGGCGGGGGUUCGCCCUUGCCGGUCUUAAAUGGAGUAGGCUAGCCGACUAUUUCAGCGGUUGGACCGGGUGUUGUAGAGUCGCCUCACUCUAGACGCUGAUCGGAUUAGUUGAGUUGUAAUUGUAUUACUCGAGCACUUUAGACCUCAGAUCAGGCAGGAUUACCCGCUGAACUUAA
rnacentral:misc_RNA from 1 species